rnacentral:lncRNA from 1 species
AGGCAUUAAAUGUGCAUUGGUUGGAUAAGAAUAUCCCUCUCAUAUUAUGAUAUCUUAGGCCAUAUUAUAAUAUUCUGGACUAUACUACGCUAUAUGAUGUCAUAAUUUUUUUCAAAAGGUAGUAGUAUUUUCGUCAUACAAAAUUUUUAAACGAAAAAAUCGAUCUGCAAGCAUUAAAUAUGCAUUGAAAAAUGAUGACUAUGUGGACCAAUCGGAUGAG